UCCAAAUAAUUCAAGUCCUGCCAAAAUUUCAAUUUAGCCAAAUGUUUUAUUCCCUUUUCACAAAGAGGAACGCCUUACGACUCGGAAUGAUAUUUCCUCCAGAAUAAACAGAAAUUCGUCGCUAGCAAGCUAGCUGACUAUGUAGAUUCGUGUGGUCUCACACCUGUUUGCAGAAACGCUUCGCCUCCUGUCCCAAACGGCAACAACAAAUGUCAGUGAUCACAUCCUACGCUGAGGAACUGAAAGAAGGGGCUGUCCUACGAAGCGGCAGAUUUCACUGCAGGAGCAGUCCGACACCCACCUGCAUCAACAUUUACCUUGUCUUGGGCCUGGACUACACAGAAAAUAUCACUUCAUAUUUUAGUCUUCAUUUUCCUAACAAUCUCGAGUAUAAAUUCACUCUGUGUGUGUGUGUGUGUGUUUUAUGCACCACCUAAAAUACAGUUUCAUUGGUUGGCUCAUUAUACAUCUCCCAGUUUCUCCAAUAAUGAAUGUACUUGUUUUUGCUGCCUCCUCUUCAUUUGCAUCACCAUGCUGUCCCAAACAGUACUAUUUCAGCGUAUAACAACAAUGCCCCUCACCAAGAGGUCUGUGCUCUUUUUGGGACGUAGCACUUCUCUCAGAUUCCGGACUCAAAAAAGGUGUCCCAUUUUAAUGUGAUGGAUAAACACAGUGUGGUUUUAUAAUAUAUACUGUAAGCUAUUAAGACAUUAAAAUGUGAUGCAUUGGAUGUCGGAUUAAAUUGGUACAUUCUUCAUGCAAAUCGACUGCUAUGCUGGUCCCAUGACCUCUCCUUAAAAUGUAAAUAAAAUCAAUUGGAAAUCAAUAUCCAAGAACUUUCAA